rnacentral:rRNA from 1 species
UACGAAGGGGGCUAGCGUUGCUCGGAAUGACUGGGCGUAAAGGGCGCGUAGGCGCCUUGACAGUCGGGCGUGAAAUUCCUGGGCUCAACCGUGGGGGCUGCGUUCGGAUACGUCUGGGCUGGGAGUGGGGAAGAGGGUCGUGGAAUUCCCAGUGUAGAGGUGAAAUUCGUAGAUAUUGGGAAGGAACACCGGUGGCGAAGGCGGCGACCUGGUCCUUGACUGACGCUGAGGCGCGAAAGCGUGGGGAGCAAACAGG